UACAGAGGGGGCAAGCGUUGUUCGGAAUUACUGGGCGUAAAGGGCGCGUAGGCGGCCCUCUAAGUCGAACGUGAAAUCCCCGAGCUCAACUCGGGAACUGCGUCCGAUACUGGCGGGCUUGAAUCCGGGAGAGGGAUGCGGAAUUCCCGGUGUAGUGGUGAAAUGCGUAGAGAUCGGGAGGAACACCAGUGGCGAAGGCGGCUCACUGGGCCGAGCCUGACGCUGAGACGCGAAGGCGUGGGGAGCGAACGGG
rnacentral:rRNA from 1 species